rnacentral:rRNA from 1 species
CACAAGCGGUGGAUGAUGUUGGUUUAAUUCGAUGCAACGCGAAAACCUUACCCACCUUUCGACAUGUACGGAACCCUUUAGAGAUAGAGGGGUGCUCGAAAGAGAGCCGUAACACAGGUGCUGCAUGGCUGUCGUCAGCUCGUGUCGUGAGAUGUUGGGUUAAGUCCCGCAACGAGCGCAACCCUUGUCAUUAGUUGCUACAUUCAGUUGGGCACUCUAAUGAGACUGCCGGUGACAAGCCGGAGGAAGGUGGGGAUGACGUCAAGUCCUCAUGGCCCUUAUAGGUGGGGCUACACACGUCAUACAAUGGCUGGUACAAAGGGUUGCCAACCCGCGAGGGGGAGCCAAUCCCAUAAAGCCAGUCGUAGUCCGGAUCGCAGUCUGCAACUCGACUGCGUGAAGUCGGAAUCGCUAGUAAUCGUGGAUCAGCAUGUCACGGUGAAUACGUUCCCGGGUCUU